GGGGGAUCGCAGGAUCCUGGGCUGUGUCCCCCCAGCGCCCUGGGCUCCGGGGCCUGCGCUGCUGGAAUCGCGCUCCCGGGCAGGUAGCCCGCU
rnacentral:pre_miRNA from 1 species